UACGUAGGGUGCGAGCGUUAAUCGGAAUUACUGGGCGUAAAGCGUGCGCAGGCGGUUUUGUAAGACAGGUGUGAAAUCCCCAGGCUUAACCUGGGAACUGCGCUUGUGACUGCAAGACUCGAGUACGGCAGAGGGGGGUGGAAUUCCACGUGUAGCAGUGAAAUGCGUAGAGAUGUGGAGGAACACCGAUGGCGAAGGCAGCCCCCUGGGUCGAUACUGACGCUCAUGCACGAAAGCGUGGGGAGCAAACAGG
rnacentral:rRNA from 1 species